rnacentral:rRNA from 1 species
AGAGUUUGAUCCUGGCUCAGGAUGAACGCUGGCGGCAUGCCUAAUACAUGCAAGUCGAACGAAGUCUCUAGAAAGCUUGCUUUCAAAAAGACUUAGUGGCGAACGGGUGAGUAACACGUAGAUAACCUGCCCAUGUGCCUGGGAUAACUGCUGGAAACGGUAGCUAAAACCGGAUAGGUAAUGAAGCGGCAUCGCUUCAUUAUUAAAGGACCGCUAGGUCUGAACAUGGAUGGAUCUGCGGCGCAUUAGCUAGUUGGUGAGGUAACGGCCACCAAGGCG